rnacentral:sRNA from 1 species
AGGACGCGAUGGACCCUGUGCCCUGGAGAAACCGCAACUGGUUUUUCUGGCCAAGUUCGGGAUUAACAGUUGAUGUAGGAUUGUUCCCCCACCAUCAUCACAAUCGUUCACUUGAUUGCCAAGGACACCUAAGGCCACAGGUGGCGUGGUCUACACUGAACAGUUGUUGUAUAUGCAAGUUUCUGUGUAAGACUAAAGAUGAUGUUGGGAUAUUAUAAAGACAGAAUCAAGCAUAAGGAGUUCAUGGUGAUGAGAGUGAGUGACAAGAAGGUCUCCUGUCUGAGAGUGGAGCUGCUUCCUCACAGAUCCGCGUACAGAGUGGAGUGAUCUUCAGACCGCAGCAGUGCCUUCCCCACCCCUUACCUCCCGUGGGUGCAGCGGAUGGAAGGAGCAGGGGUGGGGAAGUACAAUGCAUAGCGACUGUCUCCCUGGAGCAGACACAGCGGCACCUC